rnacentral:rRNA from 1 species
GACGAAGGGGGCUAGCGUUGUUCGGAAUUACUGGGCGUAAAGCGCGUGUAGGCGGUUGCCCAAGUCGGGUGUGAAAGCCUUGAGCUCAACUCAAGAAAUGCAUUCGAUACUGGCGGGCUCGAGGCCGGUAGGGGGAAGUGGAAUUCCCGGUGUAGUGGUGGAAUGCGUAGAUAUCGGGAGGAACACCAGUGGCGAAGGCGGCUUCCUGGACCGGUUCUGACACUGAGGAGCGAAAGCGUGGGGAGCGAUCCGG